UACAGAGGGGGCAAGCGUUGUUCGGAAUUACUGGGCGUAAAGGGCGCGUAGGCGGCCUUCUAAGUCGAACGUGAAAUCCCCGGGCUCAACCCGGGAACUGCGUUCGAGACUGAAAGGCUUGAAUCCGGGAGAGGGAUGUGGAAUUCCAGGUGUAGCGGUGAAAUGCGUAGAUAUCUGGAGGAACACCGGUGGCGAAGGCGACAUCCUGGACCGGUAUUGACGCUGAGGCGCGAAAGCCAGGGGAGCAAACGGG
rnacentral:rRNA from 1 species